rnacentral:rRNA from 1 species
CCUCUUGAGUUUGGUCUCGUGGGUUUUGAAGAGUUCCAAAGCCUUCGGAUUCGCGGGAUUGGGAUCUCUUGGCGUACUUUUUCGUACGGUUAGUCAACAUCGGUUUUGAAUGUCAUAAAAUGACUGGAGGAAUGUAGCUUCGAUCUCGUAUUGUAGUGUUAUAGCCUUUGGUAGAUGUGAUGUUUGAGAUCGAGGAUUGCAACGGAUACCCUUCUGGGCUAUUCGUCUGAUCUCUGAAACGUUGCCU